GAAUUAAUGGCUGAUAAAUGGCAAAAUAAUCCAUUUGGUAAAGGAAAGUUGUAUCAUAGUGGUGAUUUAGCACGUUAUACAUCUGAUGGUCAAAUUGAAUUUUUAGGAAGAAUAGAUAAACAAGUGAAAGUUAACGGGUACCGUAUUGAACUUGAUGAAAUUGAAAAUGCAAUAUUAGCUAUUCGUGGUAUAUCUGAUUGUGUUGUAACAGUAAGUCACUUUGAUACGCAUGAUA
rnacentral:sRNA from 1 species